rnacentral:rRNA from 1 species
CGUCAGCUCGUGUCGUGAGAUGUUGGGUUAAGUCCCGCAACGAGCGCAACCCCUGUGGUUAGUUGCCAGCAAGUAGCGUUGGGCACUCUAGCCAGACUGCCGGUGAUAAAUCGGAGGAAGGUGGGGACGACGUCAAAUCAUCAUGCCCUUUAUGUCCUGGGCUACACACGUACUACAAUGGCCGUUACAACGGGAAGCGAAGGAGCAAUCCGGAGCAAAUCCCUUAAAGGCGGUCCCAGUUCAGAUUGUGGGCUGAAACUCGCCCACAUGAAGGCGGAAUUGCUAGUAAUUGCAGAUCAGCAUGCUGCAGUGAAUACGUUCCCGGGCCUU